GCUGCCUCAAGAAUCCUGUGAUUUCGGGGGAUUGCCUUCUCAUGCUGUCCCUCCGGGUUUCAGAUUCCUUCCACAUGCAUGAGCUCACGUCUUUCUCCAGGCUUUACAGACACCGCUCACACUACACGCUGGUUGAAGCAGCUAUGGACACUUACCACCUGGCUUAGACUCCUGCCAUCAGCUUCUAUAUGAGUGACAACUGUCAUCCUGACAACCAUGCCAGAGCAUGACUACCAUGACAUCUCCAUUUAGCAGGAAGCAGUCUAAAAGAUGGGAAUGAUGGGUUCCACAUGUGACACAGAGCCAGGCUCAGCAUAGUGCCUGCCAGCGUGGUGCUGGACAGUGCAUUUCUUUAAUACUGACUUCCACGGGGUUCUUCCAAGCCAAGAUUGAACUUCCUGUUUUUCACAUGUGCACUAAAAUUUCCCCAAUCAGCUGUUGAUAUGUCAUUCUGCCUGUCCCUUCAAAUUUCACCCCCUGUCAAACCUAAUAAAAGCCCUUUGCUUCUUUGUCUGCCUCAAGGAGGAACUCGCGUUGUAUUGUAGUCCUCCUGUGCCCACAAUAAAGGCCUUUUUCUUUUUA